AUCCUUCUAGGUCAUAUGAGCAUGAUGAUGAUUGAUUAGUUCAUGAGUAUUUAUGAAAUGUGUUGCCGUCUUGUUAAGUUUUGCACAUUGACCAAAUGAUU